CCCUUAGAUGUUCUGGGCCGCACGCGCGCUACACUGACGAAGUCAGCGAGCAUGUCCUACGCCGACAGGUGCGGGGAAUCUUGUCAAACUUCGUCGUGAUGGGGAUUGAUUAUUGAAAUUCUUGAUCAUCAACGAGGAAUUCCUAGUAAGCGCAAGUCAGCAGCUUGCGUUGAUUACGUCCCUGCCCUUUGCACACACCGCCCGUCGCUACUACCGAUUGAAUGGUUUAGUGAGAUCUUCGGAUUGGCGCCACUGCGGCUCAGCAAUGGGCUCGGUGGAUGCCGAAAAGUUGAUCAAACUUGAUCAUUUAGAGGAAGUAAAAGUCGUAACA
rnacentral:rRNA from 1 species